rnacentral:lncRNA from 10 species
CUAGCUGUUGCUGGGCACCAGAGCUACAAACUUACAUGGGGUUAUGAUCAGUGCAAGCUAAGUAAUGGGGCAGCACAAAACAGAAGUUUAUGAAAUGAGUAAGCUGAGGAAGAGGAGAGGAGAAAGAGAGGAAGAGCAAGAGAGAAAAGGGGAGAGGGUGAGACAAAGGAAGGAGGGAAGGGAAAAGCAGGGGGAGAGAAAUGGGUCCGGAGUGGGGGAAUGAAGAGUAAGUGUGUGCAGAGAAAGUGAAAGAGUUUAGUUGGUUAUAGUGCUCCCCGCCAAGGUAUGUUCACCCAGAACCUCGGAAUAAGACCUUAUUUGGUGCACACUUACUAAGAACCAGGAAGAAAAAAAAGAAAAUAACAAAUUUAAAAAGAAAAAGAAAAAAUACCUUAUUGGAGAAAAAGGUCUUGGCAGAUGUAAUUGAGUUAAAGAUCUAGAGAUGAGAUAAUCCUGGAUUUAGGGUGGGCCCUAAAUCCAAUGACUGGUGUCUUCAUAUGGGAAAGGACGGAGACAUGACACCCAGAGACACAGCGGCGGGGCCAUGUAAAGAUGGAGGCAGAGAUUGGAGUAAUGUGGCCACAAGCCAAGAAAUGCCAAGGAUUGCUGAAGCCACCGGAAGCUGGGGGAGGCAGGGGAUGGAGGCUGCUUUCUCAGAGCCUCCAGAAGGAACCAACCCAGCCAAUACCUUCAUUUUGGACUUCAGGCCUCCAGAACUGUGAGAAAACAAACUUCUGUUGUUUGAAGCCACCCAGUUUGUGGUGACUUGCUAUGGCAGCCCUAGGAAUCUAUUUCAUCCUAAGAGAGAGGGAAAGGACAAGAGGAGGAGGAGGGAGGGCAAGGGAAGAAAGCAAAAGUGAAAGCAGGAAGGAAGAGGAGAGAGAAAAUCGAAGCAGAGGCACAGAGAGAGGUGCAGUACCAAGUGCUGUACAGGCAUUGUCUUCGCGGAUGCACCUGCUGCGACCUCACAUUAAAAGGAGAAACGGACGCUGAUCAGGGAGGAAAAGACCCUGCCCGAGGACCCUGGAAGAUCACCAGCUGCCAUGUUGGGAGGACACUCAGGCAGCCUGUGGAGGAACUCCCAUGGUGAGGAGUCUGCCAACAAUCAGAUGAGUGAACUUGGACAUGUAUCUUCCCAGGCCUGCCAACAUGUGAAUAGGCUGGGAAGCGGAUCUUUGACCCCUAUGUUGAGCCUUCAAAUGAAACCACAGCCCUGGUGAACAGCUUGUUGCAACCUUAUGAGAUACCUCAGAGCAGCAGUCCCCAACUUUUUGGCACCUGGGACCAGUUUCGUGGAAGGCAAUUUUCCCACAGACCGGGGUUGGGGGGUGGGGAUGGUUUUGGGAUGAAACUCUUCCACCUCAGGUCAUUAGCCAUUAGAGUCUCAUAAAGAACACACAACCUAGAUCCCUCUUCACGCUCCUAUGAGAAUCUAAUGCUGCUGCUGAUCUGGCAGGAGGCGAAGCUCAGGCAGUAAUGCUCACUCGCCCACCGCUCACCUCCUGCUGUGUGGCCUGAUCCUAACAGGCCAUAGACCAGUACCAGUCUAUGACCUGGGGGUUGGGAACCCCUGUCUUGGAGUACAGGUACCCAGCUGAGCUGUGGAAGAUUCUCAACACAGGGAAUGUGUAGAAUAAUGAAGAUUUAUUGUUUUAAGCCACUAAGUUUUGGAGUAAUUUGUUAUGCAGCAAUAGGUAACUAAUACACCAUCAAAUGCAUUUGCUCAGUCAGAUUGCAAGGCAGAAACUACUAGAGCUCCAGCUGCAACCCUGUUUUUCAGGAUAUAAAAGUAUAUAUAUUGUGGUAGACCAAAUAAUGAGCCUCCCAAAAUGUCCACGUUCCUAAUUUCCUGGAACAUAUUGUGAGUGUGUUACACUACAAGACAAAAGGGACUUUGCAGAUGUAAUUAAAGUUACAAACUUUAAAAUACAUUAUCUUAGAUGAGCUGAGUGGGUCCAAUCUAAUUACCUGAGCCCUUAAAAACAGAACUUUGGCUGGAGGCAGGAGAGAUUUGCCAGAAGUGGAAGUUGGAAAGAUUCAAAGUGUGAGAGGACCUCACUGUUGCUGGAAAAGGCAACGUGUAAAGCAUGAAAAUGAAGAUGGGCCGCCUCUAGGAGCUAAGACUCCACCCCAGUUGAUAGCCAGCAAGAAGACGGGGAUCUGGGCUCUGCAACUGUCAGGAACUGAACAACCUGAAAAACCCUGAAAGCAAUUCAGUGCUGGAGUCUCCAGAAAGGAAUGCAGCCCUGCUAACACCUUGAUUUUGGCCCUGUGAAAGCCAGGGAAGAAAAAUCAGUAGCGCCAACUGGGACUUCAGACCUACAGACGUCUAAGAUAAAUAAAUUUGUAUUAUUUUCAGUUCACUAAGU